rnacentral:lncRNA from 1 species
AUUCAGAAUUUCAGUGUUUAUCUAAAGGAAAGAAAGCAGUUGACAAUACCCAACAAUAAGAGACAAUGCAAGUGCUUUAAAUUGGAAAUAGCCUGUAGUCUUCUGUGAUGACGAAUUUCUGCUGUACCAUGAAAGCACUGUGGAAGAGAGCCCUGCCAUCUAUGUAAAUACACUUAAAGAGCAGAAGAUCUUCUGCACUCUCUUUGUAGAUGUGAACGUGCUGUGUGUGCAAGGCAGAAGGUUGUGACAUGUCAUAAACUUCUCUAAUUUCUGCGGUCUUUUUACAGUCAUGAAUAGCAGUCAAUCUCUCUAAGCAACCCAUUCUGGAUUCUGGUUUAAAACCACUACAUAUUUGAAGUUAGAAACAAGAGAUAUUUUAGUAUUCUACCUCUUUCAACAUGUACUUUCUGUCUUGAUUUAAGUCCAAGAACUUAGUAAUAUGGUAGGCAGAAACUCACCUGUCAGAGAAGUUUACUUUUUUGGACAAAUGUCAUGCUAGAAAUCAUGGGAUGAUUUCAGAUAUUUUCAUCAUUAAAAGAAAUGUUGGAGUAAACCAUGGACAUGUGGACAUGAACUGAUGUGAAGUGAAUAGAUUGCAGACAAAAUUCUUCUCUCAUCUGGAGUAGAUUCAUUUGCUUCAGUGAAACAAUUCUGGAUUUCCAGUGAUGUAAUUUGGAACAGCAUCUGGCUUCAGAUACAUAAGAAGAUCUCCUUGUAAUGGUUUAUAUCACUGACUACUUACUGCAUGAUUUUGCUAUGCUUUUCGUAGUUCUUAUUAGCUACACAUAAUCGUUAGUCUUAAAUCUUUCUCGUGUUUCAUACAAGGCCAAUAAAAGCCUUGCAGAACGAGGAAAAUGUACAUUUCCUUCAGAUCACCACUGUGUAGCAUCUUUCAAAACUUAGUUAAAAUCACAGUCAACAAUUAUCUUCUCUUUUUAGUUUGGAUAUUACUUUAUGGAAUACAGGUGAAGGAAAAGCCUCUCAGUUCUGUCUGUUCUUCACAUAAAGCAAGUCGGUGCAACAAGUCAGAGACAUUUACUUGGCGAACAGCCUUCAAUUAGUGGGAUUUUUCCCAUAAGGACUCUUCCUCUAUUUGAGUAAAUGUAUGUUGUGUUGACAGACAUCCAUUCUAGUCACCUUCGCAUAGUUUCAUUAUUAUUUUCUUUUAAACAAAUAAAUACAGUGCAGGACCUGCCUUCUCUCAAACCUGUGGCCAAAUUCUGCUUCCAAACAUGACACCCAUUCAUCAUCAUACAGAAUGUAAAGGAGAGGUGGACUGAAAGUUACUCUUCCUCUGUCACUGUGUGGAUGUUUUAGUACAUCAUUCUUUUCACUACAAGGCUUUCAAAGUCACACUCUGAACAUGAGAACUGCAGGCAAUCUUCACUGCCUUCAGAAUCUGUUUUAAAUGUUUUAAACUUUUUAAUGCAAGAAGGCUUAAUAAAACUACAAGACAAUAGUGAAUACAUAUGUAAAUACGCUAAAUACGAUGAAGAAAUCAGCAUUUGCUAUUAUCCCACACAUUCUACAGUUGCAUUCUGUUGUAUAUUACAAAGCUGUAGCAUCUGAUUUCUUAAUGGUUAAGGCUGUACUUUGCAAAUAUGUUCAGAAAUAUCCACGCAGAUGUUUCUGUUUAAUCUUAUUACACUUGCUUUUCCAGCUUGGAAAUUUAAUUCCAGGAUCAUAAUUAAUAAUACAUAAUUAAUAAUUUCAUUUAGUCCGAGUGAUUACAAGGACUGUUGUGGUAGCCAAAAGCAAUAUUUGUGUCAUUUGCCUUUCAUUGAACUUCUAAGGUAGUGACACUUGUUUUAAUAAAAGAUAAAUAUUACAGUUGAGUCUGUUUAUUUUUUCCAUUACAUCUGGAUUCUCUUUCUGGCUUUCCUUUAGGUAAAUUUUUUACAAAUCUUUUCUCAAAGAAAAUAUUAAUGAUAUACCAUUAUCUUUUUCUAAAAGGCAGCUCCAUCCAUCAUAAUAGAUUACAAAUUUGUCACCUUGAAUCAAUUUUUGUUCACAAGUUCAAAAGGAAAUAUAAGUGCUUGAGGGCCCAGAAAUAUUUAUUGUACAUGUGGAUAUUAUUAAAGUUUAUUGAAAUCCUUC